UACGUAGGGGGCAAGCGUUGUCCGGAUUUAUUGGGCGUAAAGAGCGUGUAGGCGGCUAGGUAGGUCCGCUGUGAAAACUUGAGGCUUAACCUCGAGACGUCGGCGGAAACCAUCUGGCUAGAGUCCGGAAGAGGAGAGUGGAAUUCCUGGUGUAGCGGUGAAAUGCGUAGAUAUCGGGAAGAACACCCGUGGCUAAGGCGGCUCUCUAGUACGGUACUGACGCUGAGACGCGAAAGCGUGGGGAGCGAACAGGAUUAGAUACCCGUGUAGU
rnacentral:rRNA from 1 species